GACGAACGCUGGCGGCGUGCUUAACACAUGCAAGUCGAACGGCAAGGCCCUGCUUUUGUGGGGUGCUCGAGUGGCGAACGGGUGAGUAACACGUGAGUAACCUGCCCUUGACUUUGGGAUAACUUCAGGAAACUGGGGCUAAUACCGUAUAGGAGCUCCUGCUGCAUGGUGGGGGUUGGAAAGUUUCGGCGGUUGGGGAUGGACUCGCGGCUUAUGAGCUUGUUGGUGGGGUAGUGGCUUACCAAGGCUUUGACGGGUAGCCGGCCUGAGAGGGUGACCGGCCACCUUGGGACUGAGAGAGGGACCAGACUCCUACGGGGGGCAGCAGUGGCGAGUAUUGCACAAUGGGCGGAAGCCUGAUGCAGCAGCGCCGCGUGCGGGAUGACGGCCUUCGGGUUGUAAACCGCUGUCGCCUGUGACGAAGCGUGAGUGACGGUAAUGGAUAAAGAAGCACCGGCUAACUACGUG
rnacentral:rRNA from 1 species